CCUACGGGAGGCAGCAGUGGGGGAUAUUGGACAAUGGGGGCAACCCUGAUCCAGCGACGCCGCGUGAGUGAAGAAGUAUCUCGGGAUGUAAAGCUCUAUCAGCAGGGAAGAAGAAAUGACGGUACCUGAUUAAGAAGCCACGGCUAACUACGUGCCAGCAGCCGCGGUAAUACGUAGGGGGCAAGCGUUAUCCGGAAUUACUGGGUGUAAAGGGCGCGUAGCCGGGAAUGUAAGUCUGAAGUGAAAGGCGGGGGCUCAACCCCCGGACUGCUCUUGAAACUGUGUGACUGGAGUACAGGAGAGGUGAGCGGAAUUCCUAGUGUAGCGGUGAAAUGCGUAGAUAUUAGGAGGAACACCAGUGGCGAAGGCGGCUGACUGGACUGUAACUGACGUUGAGGCUCGAAAGCGUGGGGAGCAAACAGGAUUAGAUACCCUAGUAGUC
rnacentral:rRNA from 1 species